rnacentral:rRNA from 1 species
GUAAUGCAUAGAUAAUGUGCCCCUUAGUUCGGGAUAGCCACUGGAAACGGUGAUUAAUACCGGAUACUCCUUCUUGUUAUAAGACAAGUCGGGAAAGUUUUUCGCUAAGGGAUCAGUCUAUGUUCCAUCAGCUUGUUGGUGAGGUAAUGGCUCACCAAGGCUAUGACGGAUAUCUGGUUUGAGAGGAUGAUCAGACACACUGGAACUGAGACACGGUCCAGACUCCUACGGGAGGCAGCAGUGAGGAAUAUUGCACAAUGGAGGAAACUCUGAUGCAGCAACGCCGCGUGGAGGAUGACGCAUUUCGGUGUGUAAACUCCUUUUAUUAGGGAAGAUAAUGACGGUACCUAAUGAAUAAGCACCGGCUAACUCCGUGCCAGCAGCCGCGGUAAUACGGAGGGUGCAAGCGUUACUCGGAAUCACUGGGCGUAAAGGGUGCGUAGGCUGGCUUUUAAGUCAGAUGUGAAAUCCAAUGGCUCAACCAUUGAACUGCAUUUGAAACUGAAAGCCUAGAGUUCAGAAGGGGCAGAUGGAAUUAGUGGUGUAGGGGUAAAAUCCGUAGAUAUCACUAGGAAUAUCAAAAGCGAAGGCGAUCUGCUGGGAUGAUAC